CCAAUAGCGUAUAUUAAAGUUGUUGCAGUUAAAAAGCUCGUAGUUGAAUUUCGGAAUCAAUAUAUCGGUCGUGCCUCUGGUACGCACUUAUUUAUUGAUUUCUCACUUCUGACGAAUCAUAAUGUCAUUAGUUUGGUGUUAUGAGGAAUCAGGACUGUUACUUUGAAAAAAUUAGAGUGUUUAAAGCAGGCUCGCGCUUGAAUACAUUAGCAUGGAAUAAUGAAAUAGGAUGUUUGAUCUUAUUUUGUUGGUUUCUAGGAUCGACAUAAUGAUUAAUAGGGAUAGUUGGGGGCAUUAGUAUUCAAUUGUCAGAGGUGAAAUUCUUGGAUUUAUUGAAGACUAACUACUGCGAAAGCAUUUGCCAAGGAUGUUUUCAUGAAUCAAGAACGAAAGUUAGGGGAUCGAAGACGAUCAGAUACCGUCGUAGUCUUAACCAUAAACUAUGCCGACUAGGGAUCGGAUGAUGUUAUUUUUUAAUGACUCAUUCGGCACCUUACG
rnacentral:misc_RNA from 1 species